rnacentral:rRNA from 1 species
AUACGUAGGUGGCAAGCGUUGUCCGGAAUUACUGGGUGUAAAGGGUGCGCAGGCGGGGAUGCAAGUUGGAUGUGAAACCUAUGGGCUUAAACCAUAGCCUGCAUCCAAAACUGUAUUUCUUGAGUGGAGUAGAGGCAAGCGGAAUUUCCAGUGGAGCGGUGGAAAGCGUAGAUUUUCGGAGGAACACCAGUGGCGAAGGCGGCCUGCGGGGCUCUACCUGACGCUGAGGCACGAAAGCAUGGGGAGCAAACAGAAUUAGAUACCCUGGUAGUCCAUGCCGUAAACGAUGAUUGCUAGGUGUGGGAGGUCGGACCCCUUCCGUGCCGGAGUUAACACAAUAAGCAAUCCACCUGGGGAGUACGGUCGCAAGACUGAAACUCAAAUGAAUUGACGGGG